rnacentral:rRNA from 1 species
UUGACCUCGGAUCAGGUAGGACUACCCGCUGAACUUAAGCAUAUCAAUAAGCGGAGGAAAAGAAACCAACAGGGAUUGCCUCAGUAACGGCGAGUGAAGCGGCAACAGCUCAAAUUUGAAAU